AUGCAUCUCCUGAUGCUGACUACUGGAAGGAAGCGAUGUAAGUGGGUGUUCAAGAAGAAGCUUAGACAUGAUGGUACGAUUGAAAAGUACAAGGCACGGCUUGUGGCCAAGGGUUAUACCCAGAAAGAAGGUGAAGACUUCUUUGAUACUUACUCACUCGUGGCUAGACUGACCACAAUUCGGGUUAAGACAGCUUUCCUCAAUGGAGAGUUGAAGGAAGACAUUUACAUGGAUCAUCCAGAUGGUUUUGAAGUACCUGGUCAGGAAGGAAAGGUGUGCAAGUUAUUAAAGUCUUUAUAUGGCCUUAAACAAGCUCCUAAGGAGUGGCAUGAAAAGUUUGAAAGAACAUUAACAGCUGCCGGCUUUGUAGUAAACGAUGGUGACAAGUACGUGUACUAUCGCUAUGGUGGGGGCGAAGGAGUAAUUCUUUGUCUCUAUGUCGACGACAUACUGAUCUUUGGAACUAAACUUGAUUUAAUCAAGGAGGUUAAGGAUUUCUUAUCUCGCUAUUUUGAGAUGAAGGAUCUAGGAGUAACUGAUGUUAUCUUAAACAUCAAGCUGCUGAGAGAUGAGAAUGGUGGGAUCACACUGCUUCAGUCUCACUAUGUGGAAAAGGUCUUGAGUCGUUUUGGGUAUAGCGACUGCACGCCUUCUCCAACUCCAUAG
rnacentral:rRNA from 1 species